AUUGAACGCUGGCGGCAGGCUUAACACAUGCAAGUCGAGCGAGCGGCGGACGGGUGAGUAAUGUAUGGGAAACUGCCUGAUGGAGGGGGAUAACUACUGGAAACGGUAGCUAAUACCGCAUACCAUCAGAUGUGCCCAGAUGGGAUUAGCUUGUAGGUGAGGUAACGGCUUACCUAGGCGACGAUCCCUAGCUGGUCUGAGAGGAUGAUCAGCCACACGGGGACUGAGACACGGUCCAGACGCCUACGGGAGGCAGCAGUGGGGAAUAGUGCACAAUGGGCGCAAGCCUGAUGCAGCCAUGCCGCGUGUGUGAAGAAGGCCUUCGGGUUGUAAAGUACUUUCAGCGAGGAGGCGUUACUCGCAGAAGAAGCACCGGCUAACUCCGUGCCAGCAGCCGCGGUAAUAC
rnacentral:rRNA from 1 species